rnacentral:rRNA from 1 species
GAUGAACGCUGGCGGCGUGCCUAAUACAUGCAAGUCGAGCGAACAGACGAGGAGCUUGCUCCUCUGACGUUAGCGGCGGACGGGUGAGUAACACGUGGAUAACCUACCUAUAAGACUGGGAUAACUUCGGGAAACCGGAGCUAAUACCGGAUAAUAUAUUGAACCGCAUGGUUCAAUAGUGAAAGACGGUUUUGCUGCCACUUAUAGAUGGAUCCGCGCCGCAUUAGCUAGUUGGUAAGGUAACGGCUUACCAAGGCGACGAUGCGUAGCCGACCUGAGAGGGUGAUCGGCCACACUGGAACUGAGACACGGUCCAGACUCCUACGGGAGGCAGCAGUAGGGAAUCUUCCGCAAUGGGCGAAAGCCUGACGGAGCAACGCCGCGUGAGUGAUGAAGGUCUUCGGAUCGUAAAACUCUGUUAUUAGGGAAGAACAAAUGUAUAAGUAACUAUGCACGUCUUGACGGUACCUAAUCAGAAAGCCACGGCUAACUACGUG